ACUUUCAACAACGGAUCUCUUGGUUCUCGCAUCGAUGA
rnacentral:rRNA from 1 species